UACGUAGGGGGGCAAGCGUUGUCCGGAAUUAUUGGGCGUAAAGAGCGCGUAGGCGGUCCGAUAAGUCGGCUGUGAAAGUCCAGGGCUCAACCCUGGGAUGCCGGUGGAUACUGUCGGGCUCGAGUCCGGAAGAGGCGAGUGGAAUUCCUGGUGUAGCGGUGAAAUGCGUAGAGAUCGGGGAGGAACACCAGUGGCGAAGGCGGUUCUCUGGGCCUUACCUGACGCUGAGGAGCGAAAGCGUGGGGAGCGAACAGG
rnacentral:rRNA from 1 species